rnacentral:rRNA from 1 species
GACGAACGCUGGCGGCGUGCUUAACACAUGCAAGUCGAACGGAAAGGCCCUGCUUUUGUGGGGUGCUCGAGUGGCGAACGGGUGAGUAACACGUGAGUAACCUGCCCUUGACUUUGGGAUAACUUCAGGAAACUGGGGCUAAUACCGGAUAGGAGCUCCUGCUGCAUGGUGGGGGUUGGAAAGUUUCGGCGGUUGGGGAUGGACUCGCGGCUUAUCAGCUUGUUGGUGGGGUAGUGGCUUACCAAGGCUUUGACGGGUAGCCGGCCUGAGAGGGCGACCGGCCACAUUGGGACUGAGAUACGGCCCAGACUCCUACGGGAGGCAGCAGUGGGGAAUAUUGCACAAUGGGCGGAAGCCUGAUGCAGCAACGCCGCGUGCGGGAUGACGGCCUUCGGGUUGCAAACCGCUUUCGCCUGUGACGAAGCGUGAGUGACGGUAAUGGGUAAAGAAGCACCGGCUAACUACGUG